rnacentral:misc_RNA from 1 species
GAUGAAGAACGCAGUGAAAUGCGAUAAGUAAUGUGAAUUGCAGAAUUCAGUGAAUCAUCGAAUCUUUGAACACACAUUGCGCCCGCCAGUAUUCUGGCGGGCAUGCCUGUUCGAGCGUCAUUUCAACCAUCAAGCCCCCGGCUUGUGUUGGGGACCUGCGGCUGCCGCAGGCCCUGAAAAGCAGUGGCGGGCUCGCUGUCACACCGAGCGUAGUAGCAUACAUCUCGCUCUGGGCGUGCUGCGGGUUCCGGCCGUUAAACCACCUUCAUAACCCAAGGUUGACCUCGGAUCAGGUAGGAAGACCCGUUGAACUUAAGCAUAUCAAUAAGCGGAGGA